GACAGAUUAGAUAGAUAGAGAUGAUAGAUGAUAGAUAGAUAGACAGACAGACAGACAGACUAACUAUGUUUCUCAAGGCAAAAAGGCCCACAACAUAAUUGCAAAUGACGGAAUAUGAGAUCAAGUCAGCAGGCCAACUAUUUAUGUCGAUGCAUAAACUGUAGUUAAGUUUACACAGCAUUUUAUUCUAAAACUAAGUCAAAUUUUCACUGAUGUGUGUUCUUUUUCUAAGGUCUAACUGAAGCUAUAUAACUUUAUUACAUAUAUUCCCACUCUAUUAACCCAAAUUUUCUAUCUUUAAUUAAAAAUUUCUAAAGAUACUUGUUACUUCCUUGGGAAAUAGGCCAGAGGUCCAUUCUCUAACUACAAUGUUUCAUCUGUCAGGAGGAGAAGUGUGGAAAGAUAUAAUCACUAAAAAUAUUAUAACUAGAAAUUAGAAUACCUGUUAUUCAUCUUAAUAGAAUCACCAGCUCAUAGAUGACUUUCAGGUCCAUUAUCGUGGCAUCUGAAGAGUUCAUGAUUCCGGAGAGGAAGCCAAAUCGUAAAAAUAUGCAUCCUAGAGAGUGUGCCAGUCUCUCUUUGUUGAUCUUCUUUACGUCUUUCUUUCAAUCCUUUGUGGUUAGGAGCUUUGACCUGGGGAGAUUAAAACAUGAAUCAGGAGUUCAUGGACCAGCAGGAGAGACCAAUGGGGAUGCUUAGAACAGUGAAACCCAAGGCCUCAUGCAAGUGAUAUAAGAGAAAGAAACAAAGUUCUAUAAGUCUGACAAGAAAUGGGCCCAUUUAUUUUUAUGAAUCAUCUCUAUCUAAUUUUUAAACACCUCUGAAGGAUGUGAACUCUCUUCUUUUAAAUCUGUAAAAUAUUUUCAGGGGAAGCUGUGGAGAGAGAAUCUUAGACUCCCUUUAUUUGUGUUUCCUUUCCUCCCUUCCCUUACUAGCUCUGUCUCUUCAUGGUCAAAGACUUCCUCUGUCUCUCUAACACUCCCUUUCAGAUUAGCUUCUCAUUUUCUCUAUUGCCCUUUCUAUCUUUUCCCUUAAAUAUUUCCAUUUUUAUUUUCUCUUUUCUGUCUCUGUUAAUUGAUCAGAAAGUGAAACUCUAGGAUUCUUAUUUGUUUCAUUUAUUGAAUAAUGCUAUGUUUAUGCUAUUAAAAAUAAUAUUCAUUCCAUUCAAACAUACAUAAAUUUUUGAAGAAAAAAAGAAGUGUCAGGUUUUUCUCCUUAACUUUUAAGAUAAUCAUUACAAUGUUUUUUACAUUUAUAGUUUUACAAUGGAUUUUCCCCGCUUUGGUUCAGCAACUAAUGGUGGUUGGUUUUUUUUUUUAUUCUUUUUACAACCUCAUAUUCCUAUUCCACCCAUUUUUUAAUGAGCAGCAGAAUUUGCAAUAUCAUCUCCUUUUACUAAAAGAUUCUGUGAAAUACGUAUGAUUUUUUGACCUUUGAGAUUAUGUUGUAAUUGUAGAAUAGUUAAAGGAGAGCAUGUGUGGCUAAGUUUUUUCAAAGAUUAUAAAAAGUGUUUUCAAUGACAACAGAAGAUUGCGUCUGGAAAGGCAACUGGCCUAAUUGGUGCAAGACCAGGCUGCUAAAAUGCAACACUUAAUUAUCACAGAGCCACGAUACAAAAGAAGGUUAUCACUGAAAUGUAAAAUAGCAUAUUAAAUUCAAAUAGUAUGAGCAUCUCCGAGGUUGCCUUGUCUUUGUAGUAGCAUGGCAAUGAUGGAUGCUUUGUUAAAGCUAUAAAUAACUUUGGCAUUUACAGCUUUAUCAAAGAGUAAUUAUGACAUAAAUAAAAAGGAAUAUACCUGCCUCUAGAAUUUCCA
rnacentral:lncRNA from 1 species